rnacentral:rRNA from 1 species
GAUGAACGCUAGCGGCAGGCCUAACACAUGCAAGUCGAGGGGGAAGUUACUUUCGGGUGACUGAGACCGGCGUCCGGGUGCGUAACGCGUAUACAAUCUGCCUUUCACUGGGGGAUAGCCCGAAGAAAUUUGGAUUAAUACCCCAUAGUAUAUAGGGACGGCAUCGUUUUUAUAUUAAAGCUUAGGUGGUGAAAGAUGAGUAUGCGUUCUAUUAGCUAGUUGGAGAGGUAACGGCUCCCCAAGGCGAUGAUAGAUAGGGGUUCUGAGAGGGAUGUCCCCCACACUGGUACUGAGAUACGGACCAGACUCCUACGGGAGGCAGCAGUGAGGAAGAUUGGACAAUGGUCGGAAGACUGAUCCAGCCAUGCCGCGUGCAGGAGGAAGGUCUUAUGGAUUGUAAACUGCUUUUGUAAGGGAAGAAUAAGGGCUACGCGUAGUUUGAUGACGGUACCUUACGAAUAAGCAGCGGCUAACUCCGUG